rnacentral:rRNA from 1 species
GACGAACGCUGGCGGCGUGCUUAACACAUGCAAGUCGAACGGAAAGGCCCUGCUUUUGUGGGGUGCUCGAGUGGCGAACGGGUGAGUAACACGUGAGUAACCUGCCCUUGACUUUGGGAUAACUUCAGGAAACUGGGGCUAAUACCGGAUAUGAGCUCCUGCUGCAUGGUGGGGGUUGGAAAGUUUCGGCGGUUGGGGAUGGACUCGCGGCUUAUCAGCUUGUUGGUGGGGUAGUGGCUUACCAAGGCUUUGACGGGUAGCCGGCCUGAGAGGGUGACCGGCCACAAUGGGACUGGGGUACGGCCCAGAGUCCUACGGGAGGCAGGAGUGGGGAAUAGUGCGCGAUGGGCGGAAGCCGGAUGCAGCAACGCCGCGUGCGGGAUGACGGCCUGCGGGUUGGAAACCGCGUGCGCCUGUGACGAAGCGUGAGUGACGGUAAUGGGUAAAGAAGCACCGGCUAACUACGUG